rnacentral:rRNA from 1 species
UACGGGGGGGGCAAGCGUUGUUCGGAAUUACUGGGCGUAAAGGGCUCGUAGGUGGCCAACUAAGUCAGACGUGAAAUCCCUCGGCUUAACCGGGGAACUGCGUCUGAUACUGGAUGGCUUGAGUUUGGGAGAGGGACGCGGAAUUCCAGGUGUAGCGGUGAAAUGCGCAGAUAUCGGGAGGAACACCAAUGGCGAAGGCAGCUCGCUGGGACGGUACUGACGCUGAGACGCGAAAGCGUGGGGAGCAAACAGG